rnacentral:rRNA from 1 species
GACGUAGGGCGCGAGCGUUUGUCCGGAUUUAUUGGGCGUAAAGAGCUCGUAGGCGGCUUGUCGCGUCGAAUGUGAAAACCCACAGCUCAACUGUGGGCUUGCAUUCGAUACGGGCAGGCUCGAGUUCGGUAGGGGAGACUGGAAUUCCUGGUGUAGCGGUGAAAUGCGCAGAUAUCAGGAAGAACACCAGUGGCGAAGGCGGCUCUCUGGGGAACGGGUACCUGGACGCUGAGACGCGAAAGCGUGGGGAGCGAACAGG